AUGAACAUUUAAGUAUAUUUUUUUAAUAAUCAAGUAAUUUAAGUAAUCUUCUUAAGUAAUUUGUAUUAGUUAUAGUCCAACAUAAAAAUCGGUUUUAUAACAUUAAUUGAAUCAUUUUAUUAAAAUAAAUUGAGUUUUUGAAUUGGGAUAGCAUGGUCAAAAGAUUAUUUAUGAAAUCGAAGACAUGGAAUGGAAAAAUAUAUUUUUGUCGGCUUAUUAUGGAUUCAUUAAAAUUCUAGUAAGAAAAGAGCUAAAAAAUGGGCAUUUUAAAAUUAAUCAAGAAAAUCCUACAUAUAUGCUAACUUCAAUUCUUCGUAGUAUUUAUAACUAUACUGAUAUGUCAAGCAAUCAAACCGAUUUAUAGUGAUGUACUAGUUAAUAAUCUCUUGUUCUUUUUUUUAUAGUAUUGCAGAUACAUACAUAAAAAUACAAUUUUUUUUAAAUAUGGAGUUUUUAUAGUUUUUAAUGUGUAUUUUUUUGUUCAUUAUGUUUUUGUCAAUUUAUUAUUUACUAAACAUAUGUGAUGUGCAUGUAUUUUUAAGAACUAAGAAUUCAAUUUAACGAUCAAGAUAUCAAAUUUUUAACCAAAUAAUUUUUAUUUUAUUUAGUGUUAAGUAAACUGAAUGCUUUUAUUAUAUUUUCAUAAUGUACAGUUAAUGUAUAGUGUCACAAUUAAAAAGGAAAUAAAAUUGAUUGAGUAUGUACUGCAGUGAAACCUUUUGUUACUAUGUAGGUUUAAAUUAAUGACAGGUACUUGUAAAAGACAUAUUGAAACUUGCGGUCGUUAAUUUCUUUAUUAAAGUGUAAUAUAUUUUUAUUGCUACAACAAGUAUUAAAUUGCUAGUUCCAAAAAUAUUAGCAUUUUUUUAGUUUUUGUCAUUUAAUCUUAGUAACCAUAAAAAAAUAAACAAAUAAUAACAAAGAGUA